rnacentral:lncRNA from 1 species
CCGGGGGCAGCGGCGAGUCAGGAGGAGGCGGAGGAGAGCUCGCGGCUCCGCCCGGGCUCCGCCCUCGGGGCGGUGCUGCCCGCGAGCCGGGUGGGGCUGGGGCGCUGCCUCGACCGCCUGGCUGGUGUUUCCCCUGGUGGAAACAGUCCUGAAGGCGACGAACCUUCCCGCUCUGGGCGGCCUGAAACCUGGAACCCGGAGCUACCGACGCCCCGCAAUUUACCCCCAGUCCUUUGACGUGGGAGGGGGGCGAAAGGGCUCUUUCUGGAAGGAACUGAGAUUAAUUUCCCUUAGCGGUUAAGUAUUUGAAAUAGCUGCUUUGCUCUUGAAAUGAAAUUUUAAAUUCUUAUCCUCCUGGCAGGCUGUCACCUUAGAGACACAGGAGAUGAUCUGGGUAGAUCCACAGGUGCACGAGCAGGGCACCCGUUAUUUCAUAAGUUGAGCAUAGAGCCAUAGCUUCUAAUGCCACCUGACAAAAGGGGCUAGUGUAGUGUAUUCCAAGAUUUUCAAAACCAGGGCUUUUCUUUCAAAUUAAUCUCACACAAAACAAAACAAGUACUAUAAAAAAAGGUAAAUAAGGAGUUUACCUUUGUGGUUCCAUCAGUGUCUGGGGUUAGGGACUGAGGCAGUUCCAGUGGGUUCUUUCACCAGCAGCUUCUGUUGAUCUCCACAACAGUGCUUCUGAAAAUCAGUUCUCCAGACCCCACCUAUAAGAACCAAACCUACCAGUUCAGCACUACUGUUUUUCCCCUGGCCAAAGGCCAAGAGAUACUGUAUCAUGCAAUGGAGUAUCGGGGCUAAUGAAUAAUAGAAAUUAUCUGAAAAAAUUCCCCACUCCAUUUCCACUGUCUAUUGAGAAAAUCUGGUUCACUUGAAACAGUAGUGUUUGAAUGCCAACCAGAUAUCCUUCGUUAUCUGUGCUUAUGUCUUAGGCAAAAAAUGAACAAUGCAGCUAUUUAUCCACAGGAGUACAAAGCAAAUGCUUCCUCUUCAUAGCAAAGUGAAUUAAAAAUUGCUCUCAACCCUGAAGGAAUGGCCUAAAUUAACAAUAGAAACAAUUAAAUUAUACUUUGUGACUCUAAAGGGGGGGUUCCCGUCAUGGCUCAGAGGUAAUGAACCCGACUAGUAUCCAUGAGGACACAGGUUUAAUCACUGGCCUCGCUCAGUGGGUUAAGCAUCGAGCGUUGCCAUGGGCUGAGGUGUAGGUUGCAGACGCAGCUCGGCUCUGGUGUUUCUGUGGCUGU